rnacentral:tRNA from 1 species
UCCGGGGUAGCUCAGCUGGCAGAGCGCUCGGCUGUUAACCGAAUUGUCGUGGGUUCGAUCCCCACCCCCGGAG